rnacentral:rRNA from 1 species
GAUAAACGCUGGCGGCGUGCCUUAUGCAUGCAAGUUGUACGAGGUCUAGGGCUUCGGCUCUAGAGCAGUAGCGGACGGGUGAGUAACACGUACGUAACCUGUCCGAAAGUGGGGAAUAACCCCGCGAAAGCGGGGCUAAUACCGCAUAUGGUCGCCGGUGAAAGACCGGUGGACAAAAGCCUUACGGCGCUUUCGGAGGGGCGUGCGGCCGAUUAGCUAGUUGGUGUGGUAAUGGCGCACCAAGGCGACAAUCGGUAGCUGGUCUGAGAGGACGGCCAGCCACACGGGGACUGAGACACGGCCCCGACUCCUACGGGAGGCAGCAGCAAGGAAUUUUGCGCAAUGGGCGAAAGCCUGACGCAGCAACGCCGCGUGGGGGAUGAAGGCCCUCGGGUUGUAAACCCCUUUUGUAAGGGAAGUAACUGACGGUACCUUACGAAUAAGCCACGGCUAACUACGUGCCAGCAGCCGCGGUAAUACGUAGGUGGCAAGCGUUGUCCGGAUUUAUUGGGCGUAAAGGGCGCGCAGGUGGCUUACCAAGUCUGGGGUGAAAUCUCCCGGCUCAACCGGGAGGGGUCUCUGGAUACUGGUAGGCUAGAGGGAAGCAGAGGAGAGCGGAAUUCCCGGUGUAGCGGUGAUAUGCGUAGAUAUCGGGAGGAACACCAGUGGCGAAGGCGGCUCUCUGGGCUUUUCCUGACGCUGAGGCGCGAAAGCGUGGGGAGCAAACCGGAUUAGAUACCCGGGUAGUCCACGCCGUAAACGUUGGACACUAGGUGUGGGGGGUAUUGACCCCCUCCGUGCCGCAGCUAACGCAUUAAGUGUCCCGCCUGGGGAGUACGACCGCAAGGUUAAAACUCAAAGGAAUUGACGG